rnacentral:rRNA from 1 species
CCUACGGGAGGCAGCAGUGAGGAAUAUUGGUCAAUGGCCGGAAGGCUGAACCAGCCAAGCCGCGUGAAGGACGAAGGUGCCAAGCAUUGUAAACUUCUUUUGUCAAGGGACAAAAUCAGGCUCGAGAGCCUGACCGAGGGUACUUGAAGAAAAAGCAUCGGCUAACUCCGUGCCAGCAGCCGCGGUAAUACGGAGGAUGCGAGCGUUAUCCGGAUUUAUUGGGUUUAAAGGGAGCGUAGGCGGACUGUUAAGUCAGCGGUAAAAGCCCGGGGCUCAACCUCGGCGAGCCGUUGAAACUGGCAGUCUUGAGAUGGCGGGAGGUAUGCGGAAUGCGCAGUGUAGCGGUGAAAUGCUUAGAUAUUGCGCAGAACUCCGAUUGCGAAGGCAGCAUACCGGCGGCGAUCUGACGCUGAGGCACGAAAGCGUGGGUAUCGAACAGGAUUAGAUACCCCUGUAGUC